GUCGAGCGAAUCUGAGGGAGCUUGCUCCCAAAGAUUAGCGGCGGACGGGUGAGUAACACGUGGGCAACCUGCCUGUAAGACUGGGAUAACUUCGGGAAACCGGAGCUAAUACCGGAUAAUUCUUAUCAACUCAUGUUGGUAAGCUAAAAGACGGCGUAAGCUGUCACUUACAGAUGGGCCCGCGGCGCAUUAGCUAGUUGGUGAGGUAACGGCUCACCAAGGCAACGAUGCGUAGCCGACCUGAGAGGGUGAUCGGCCACACUGGGACUGAGGCACGGCCCAGACUCCUACGGGAGGCAGCAGUAGGGAAUCUUCCGCAAUGGACGAAAGUCUGACGGAGCAACGCCGCGUGAGUGAUGAAGGUUUUCGGAUCGUAAAACUCUGUUGUUAGGGAAGAACAAGUACGAGAGUAACUGCUCGUACCUUGACGGUACCUAACCAGAAAGCCACGGCUAACUACGUGCCAGCAGCCGCAGUAAUACGUAGGUGGCAAGCGUUGUCCGGAAUUAUUGGGCGUAAAGCGCGCGCAGGCGGUCCUUUAAGUCUGAUGUGA
rnacentral:rRNA from 1 species